GGUUAAACCCUUUAACCCUACAUACAAUAGAUCUAAUCUAUAUCUAUUUGAGUUCUGGAGUAAAAAUAUACAUAUAAUCUAAAAAUUAAAAUAAAAAUUGAGAUCGGAUAUCAAUACCUUAUGCGGGUUGAAAUACACUACAAUCGAUGAUCCUAGAUCUGAAGGUUCCUAAGCCGCACACCUAUCCGACCUUUACAGGUAUCCAUCUGGAUCAUUCUUGAAUCUUUCUUCUCAUUAUAUAUCUA
rnacentral:lncRNA from 1 species